rnacentral:rRNA from 1 species
GAUGAACGCUGGCGGCGUGCCUAAUACAUGCAAGUCGAGCGAACAGAUAAGGAGCUUGCUCCUUUGACGUUAGCGGCGGACGGGUGAGUAACACGUGGGUAACCUACCUAUAAGACUGGAAUAACUACGGGAAACCGGGGCUAAUGCCGGAUAACAUUUAGAACCGCAUGGUUCUAAAGUGAAAGAUGGUUUUGCUAUCACUUAUAGAUGGACACGCGCAGUAUUAGCGAGUUGGUAAGGUAAAGGAUUACCAAGGCAACGAUACGUAGCCGACCUGAGAGGGUGGUCGGCCACCCUGUAAGAGAGGAACAGUCCAGACUCCUACGGUGAGCCGCAGUAGGGAAUCUUCCGCGAUGGGCGAGAGCCGGACGGAGCAACGCCGGGUAAGUGAUGAAGGUCUUCUGAUCGUAAAACUCUGUUAUUAGGGAAGAACAAAUGUGUAAGUAACUGUGCACAUCUUGACGGUACCUAAUCAGAAAGCCACGGCUAACUACGUG